GACCAUGCAUCAACUAAAGAAAGCAAUCAGUUUUCCACCUCUGGGGAACAUUUUCAGAAUGUUUAAGGUCCAAAAGCUGGAUCCCAUGUUUCUGGAACAGGAGGUUUUCAGCACAGGAGUUUGUUUUAGGACUGAUGAGCAAGAAGGACUGGGAAGGACUGGCUGCAAAGAGAUGAUUAUAGUUGGGUCCUGCCCUGGAAGUACAUCCAACAAAAGUCAGGAAGGGCUCCCCAGCUGUGAGCUGAAGUGGCACACUGAGAUCAGCACAGCAACCUGAGGUGAAAUCCUGACCCCCUGAAGCCCUGAAUAGCUCCUUCUCCAGUGUCCUCAUCUUCACCUCUUUCCUUUUGGCUCUACAGCUCAGGUAAUGUCUUCAGAGGCCACAGGACUUCCCAUCUGGGCUCUUCUGUGUGUUUUGUCUUCCCUGGGGGCCCAGUGUCCUGCACUGGGUGAUGAUGUGCAGAGAGGGGACACAAGGAAGGCCAUGCAGGCUUGGUGACAAAGCCAGAGCCAUGCAGGAGGGUGACAAACUCUGGGCCAUGAGCUGCUCCUGGCAGGCUUGACCAUUUCUCCUGCUCCUGUCCUUGGUAUCCUGCACAGCCACAGGCUGCCAAGCCCAGGGAGGCUUUUUUGCAGUGAGGUGGGGUCCUGGGCUUCAGGAGAGAAAGGAGAAUGAUGCCAUACCAGCUCUCUCUUCCCCCACCCCCGCUUUGAUGGAAAGUUGGGUCAGUGUUGUUUUUGUUUCUGCUUCUUUCUCCCUUGCCAAAGAAAUCAUUGUGACUAACUCCUCAUCAUACGUGUUCAACAGUGUUUCUGGGAUCAGGUCCUCCUCAUGAAAACAAAAAUAAUCCCUCUUGUUUCUCCUCCCAGCUAUCCUGUAAUAUACGUAAGUGUUCAAGGAAGCCAGGAAUGUAUUUUAAUUCGGAUCAUUAUUAAUAAGUUCAGGAGCUAUGAGUUUUCCUCUCUUCAUUCAAAAUGAAUUAUGGCUUGGAGAAAAAUAUAUCCAUCUUACAAAGUUUUAAUCCAAAGGGACACCUUCUAAUUAAAUUAACCAGCAAAAAGGAAAUACUUGUAAUAAGGGUGCAAGAUAAAUAUUUGUAUCGUGCACAUUCUAAUUUAUCACAGCCUUAAAAGAGUCCAUAAGGUUUGUUUUUCUUCACUGCAGUGUGAUGCACUCAGAUCUCGUUCUCAUUUAUGAAUUAGUGUGUGUCACAUGGGACACCCCCCCAUGGGCUGGGGCAUUGGCCUGCCAGUGAUAUAUUGCAGCUGGGAGAGCUGAGCAGUGAAGACGAGUAGUCCUCAAACUCAGGCCCUAAAUUUAACAUUACCCAGAGACAACCAGAGCCCUGAACUGACUCAGGGCUAGAGGCAAAGCUGCACAGCCCUGAUGUGUUAUCUCGUGGGAUUGCACACUGCAGUGGUGCUGCCAAUUUUGAGGGAGCGAGGGGAAAGCACCUACACUUCCUCCAUUAAUCUGCUUUUAUUUGCCUGGGUGGUACCAUGGUGAUACUCACUGAAGCCCUGGGUGGGCAAAAGGUUUAAGUGGGAGCCUGUUUUUAAGGCAGCUGAUAGGUUGCAUUAAUUGCACAGGCAGUGCUCUCAUAUUUGUAGCUGUGUUCAUGAUUAAAUGAUGCCUUUGCUGCUAUAGGUAACUUCUACAUAUUUGGGUUUUAUUUAGUAGUUUUCGGGGAAAAAAUACCCAAAUCACAACUCCUGUACAUAUGCAUUUGUUUGUGCAUUUCUCCUCUCCAGUGUCUGCAUGAAUGCUCAUGGAGUAUUUUGCAUAUUCACACAUGUGCUGGGGUGUACAGGACACACAGACAUAUCCAAUAUAGAAUUCCAUAUUUUUACCCAAUGUUAUACAUCUGACUACAUUUUAAAAGUAUGCAAAUUUCUGGUUUGCAAAACUGGGAAUAAUCAGGCUAAAGGAAAAUAUGCUAAAGUAUAAAAAAACAUAUACAAUUAUUCCAGGAAUUGACUGUGCACAGGGAAAGGUCUGAUUUAGACUAGACUGGAAUAAUUUCAGUUGUAAGGGACCUACAAAGUCCAAUUGCCUGUCCACCUCAGGGCUGACCAAAAGUUAAAUCAUGUUGUUAAGGACAUUGUCUGAAUGUCCCUUGGACACUGACAGGCUUGGGACAUCAACCACUGCACCAAUAUAUCUGAAAUUUUAGAGGCAAGACAACACUAGUGCAUUUCCCAGUG